GUCAUAUUUUCAGUGACAUCCAAUAAAGUUGGAACGAUACAGAAAAAAUUAGCAUGGCCCCCUCCCCAAGGAUGACAUGCACAAACCAAAAAAUGGUCAGUGUCCUU